CCAUUUGGUGUAGUCUUCCCAAGACGGUGGCACAAUUCGUUCUUUUUCCAAAAAGGACUUCUAACCAGAAUGGGCGGAGUUCGUUGCAAAGCCACCAGCAAUGGGCAAAGGAGCCUAUUUGACCACAGCCCUUCCAGCAUAAUGGUGUGAGGCCUUUGAUAUUAUCGAGCCCCGGAUCACCGGUUUUAGGGCAUCCCAGAC